AGUGUGAGGAGUAAAGAUUUGUUCCCAGGAUGUAGGCUCUCUAUUUACCUCUCUUAUUGUAUCUUUUGCUGAGAAAAAAAUACAAUAAGAGAGGUAAAUAGAGAGCCUACAUCCUGGGAACAAAUCUUUACUCCUCACACU
rnacentral:miRNA from 1 species